AGCACACUACCUCAUCUCCAGGAAGACCUUCCUGACCACCCCCUGCAUCACCCUGGAGUUGGGGAGAUGCCUCCUCCCUUGGGCUCCCACUGGCCUCCAGGCCUCUUAUUGAGCCCCCCCCCCAUUACAGCAACACUCUUCUGACUUAUGAUAAUCUGUUUGCUUGACUAAUGCCCACCCACCCCCACACACACUGCCUGAGAGUGCAGCACUUUCUGAGACCGGAAUGAUCCUGGCUCUUUAUUAUGUUUCCUUACUUUCCUGGAGUGUAAGCCCUGUGAGGGCAGGGGCCUUGCCUGAAACCCCAGGAGCCCGGCACGGUGCAUCGGACAUGGGUUUGUUGACCGAACAGCUCGGUGGGCAAUCGGGUCUCUGAGGCCAGAGAAGGAAGGUAACAUGUGUCCACGCCCUGCUGGCUGUUCAAGGCAAAAGGAAGAUCCGGGCACGUUGACAACACCUGCAGACCUGCAUCCGGAGAGGGUACAUGGCAUUUACAAGGCACUUGCCUGAGGCUGGGUGGAAAACCACUGGGCUGUAACCUCAGUCCCUGGGCUUCCGCCCCCCCAGCUCCUCCAGCUUGGGCUCUUGGGAAGCAGGUGCCGAGACCGUUUCAGUGCAUGUUAGGGAUCGACAUUUGUAGAAGGAAAAGGGAGAAGUCAAACUGCCUUGCAGACCCUGCAAAGCCUUGGUCACCCUGUGAGCUCUUCUGAACUGAUACCGCCCCUGGAGCUGUCCUGUGUCCGGGCAAGAAUCAUGUGGUUUCAUCCUGAGCUCCCACUUCAACCAACAGGCGGAGGCUGCCUGGAGUGCUGUGUUGAGAAGGGUUCUGAGGCUGGCCCAACAGGAAAGGAUGUUGUAAUCAAUUAGCAACGUUUGCGUGGGCUUGGGAAGGACACGGUGGUUUGCACGCCAGGAUUUUCCUAGGCCUUCCUCUGCCAUUUCCUCACCUGGCGCUGCUUCACCUCCAGGAUCCCUGGGUCUGCAAUCCUCCCUCUGAGUUCCUCCUCUCCUACUUGCUCCUGGUCUCACUGGCUCCCAGGGGAAGGGGAAGGCCCAGUGACUUGGCUUUGGGAGAUGGUCGAGAAGCUGAGGAAACUUGGCCGAAGUCAUCGUUGUUUGAGCCUCGAUUUCCUCAUCUGCAAACAGCACCUGGCCUCUCCCCCAGGACGUAGUGGGAGCCUCACAAAGCUCCAGGGAGAGGGGUGCUGAUGGGAGAGGCAUCUGACUCUGAUCCUGGGCCCCUGGCAGCAGCCCCCAUGCUGGGGGGUGCGCAGGGCACGUGGCCAGGAUGGCUGGGAGUGGCUCUGCUGUGCUGGGGGUGGGGGUGGGGGUGUGGUGGAGGCAGGAAUGACAUCUCCCAGCAUUUCCACAAAGGGGUGUUGAUCCAGGGUGGUCCCUCACACACUCUCCCUGUGGUUCUGAUGCCCAUUGCCUCGGAGACCAGCCAUGGGCACCCUGGGAAUGACUGUGGAGGUGAUCGCUCCUGGAGGAGGACAGGGCCACAGGUAUGCACAUGACCAGCCCUCGGCCCUCCUUUGCACAGAUACGGAACCCGAGGCCCCAGGGUGGCGGUGACCCAGUCAACACCAGGACCAGGAACGAGGCCGUUUGCCUUCCUGCUGCUCGGAAAAGAAAGCUCUGCAGCUUCUCCCUUCCCAGGCACAGGUUGCCAAACACAGGUGUCCUCAAGGGGAAGAGGAUGUGCCACCGAGGCCCAGCGGGGGCGCCCACUGCGAUGUUGAACCACUAAGCCCAAUAUGCUGAGGCCUCUUUAAUGUUGGUUUGGCCUCUUCCAGAAUAAGAAAUGCUACCGGGGCGCCUGGGUGGCUCAGGUGGUUAAGCAGCUGACCCUAGGUUUUGGCUCAGGUGAGGAUCUUAGCAUUGAGAUCGGACCCCACAUGGGGCUCCAGGCUCAACUGAGGCACAGAGUUAGGAAACUUGCCCAGACUCAACAGCCAGAAAGUGGUGGAGCCAGAUGAAAGCUCAGUAGCAUCUUCUCCAUUUCCCUUCUGGGUACCCUCCUCUGCCUUUGGUCACAUUUAGACUACGCACUCAGGCUCUCUCCACCUGGGUUUGCACAGUGGGGCAGCAAGGGGAGCUGGGAGUGAAACAGGACAGAGGUCAGGGCACUUGUCGCUGGCUCCUUCCUGCUGUUUGCCAGUGGCUGCACCCUGAUCCCUUUCAUAGUGUAGCUCCAAGCUCUGGUUGUGUACAAUUUUGGGUGACUCUCUAUCUCCCAAUUUCCUCCUUUCUGUCCCUUCCUUGAAAUCACUACAAGGUAGAAGCAAGUACUACGUGCUCUCUGGUGGUCAGGGAAGGAAGACAGUAGACUUAGGGUGAGGAUCAACAUUUGAGAAGAGAGCUGAGUGCCAGAAAGAGAGCCAGCCAUGCACAGAUGACAGCUGCUGGUGGGAGAGCCAUCAGCAGCCGUGAGGAUGGGGCUGCUGUUCACCGAAAUGGGGACAGUUGAAGGAGUUGACGGAGGGGGGGGACUGCUGUGCGCCCCACAUGGCCCGACAUUUGUCCUGGAUACGGGAGUGCAGGUGUGAGGAGGAAGGCAGGUAAGUCUGGAGCUCUGAGGGGAGGCCAGGCUGGAGCAGGACCCCCCAGUGCAAAUAACGGUUAGCGUCAGUGGUCGCACGAAGGCAGGAGGAGCCAGGGGUCUGGCUCCGCAGGCAGCCCGGGAGGGCCAGCCGUGGUCAUUGCUGCAGGAGGGCUUCCUGGGGGGUCGGGCGCAUGGAGCAGGGGAGGGCCAGUCCACGGGGCCCAGCCUGCGGCCUCCGCCUCUGCCCUGGGUCUGGGCAAUUGCCCACCAGCAGCAGCCCGGCCUUCACCACGGCCGGCCUCUGUCCACCUCUCUGACAUCCCAGCACCUGUUGGGCCACUGGCUCCAGUGACCAGACAACUGUUAUUCCGAUGUGCCCUGAGGACUCCCACGCCCCAGAGCUGCUUGUGUGACCCCAUGGGCCACCCAGAGCGAACCUCAGGAUGUCUGCUGAAGUCCCUGGGGAGCACAAGUCCCGCCACUGGGCUCUCCAAGCCCAGGAAUGGAACUUGGAGCUGCUGGAAGUCACCUUUGCACAUCCCCCUCCCCUCACCACCACCGGAAAAGGCUUUCCAGGUGGGAGCAACUCGCAGGAAAGCAGGAGGGAGCAGCAGAGAGAGGCGGAGCCCUGAGGCUGGAGGUCCUGAGUCCCAGCUGCAGCUCAUCCUGGUCUUCCCGCGCAUUCUUCAGUGGCCGAGACAGCUGGAUGUCCUGAGGCUCAGACCAGGUCCAGGGGGCAUCGGAAAGAAUUCGGACAAAUUUGCAACGGAAAGAAUUCGGACAAACGCCCAAGGUCUGCCAAGUUUCCUGAUACCAUGUGUGUGACGUCUGGGUGCUCACCCACGUGCCACAUCCUUCCAUCUCCGGGUACUUCGGUGGCCACCGGUAGCCCCUCCAGCUCCCCGAUCCCUGGCAGGCCGGCCUUGGGACUCGGGCGGCGGGAGGGUGGAAGGGCCUGACCCGGCGGCCGCCGGAGCUCCAGAACCGCCACUUCCAGAGGCCUCGCUGAGUAAACAAUCAACGUCCGUAUGGUUUAAGCAACUGUUCACCCAGCAUCCUGCCAUCACAGACCAAAGCCGUCCCGACUCGUGCAGCAGCCAAACCGUCCCAAACCGUCUGACUCGUUCAGACAUUCAUCAAACAUUUCAUCAAACGUUUCACGAGUAUUCCCUGCUGGCUGGCACGUUAUCACAUUGAAUUUAACCCACUCAACGACUUUUUUUUUUU